GGAUAAUCGUGUUCAAAACCCAGAUACUCAAAAUAAUUUAGUAUAUUUAAAAAAAUAAUAAUUUCAUACACAAGCUCAAGGAACUUGAUGCGUCUUCUUUGAUGUUGCUGCUAAAGUGGUGGUGCGCUUGCAUAUAAGAUAAUUAGAUGAGUGCAGAGUGGUAGCUAGUGCUGCUUGAUGGAGAAUUUUACCUAACGAAACUCCACUCAUCUUGAUGGGAGAAGUGGUGUCUUAGCGCGCUUUGUGAACAUCCCCUAGGUUAGGCUUGCUGAUUCUUGGACUUUGUCAUCUACCAUUUGUAUGGACUGGGUUAUUUUGCUCUUUAUUUCUAAUCCUAUUGUGGAUUUAUUUUCUUAUCAUAGUGAGCUUUCAUCAUACAAUCUCAUUCUUACUUGAAAAAAAGCACAAAUCAGUGAUUAACUUAGAAGUUAUGAUGCAGUAUCUGGUUUUCGAUUGGAGAAGAGACCAAGUUGUUUAAUCUUUGUAGAGCGGUGAAUAAAGCUGGAAUCUUUAGUACAAACAAAGGUUUUAAAUGUCAAGAGCAUAAAGAUUCAUGUUAAUACCUGAACAUAUGUCAACUGUAUGCACUUUUGAAUAGUUUGAUGUUGUUGAAGUAAUGAAUGCUUGAUGUUUUUGUGAAUCUUUUCCCUCUGCACCAUCUUGCUUUCUCGCAAUUUCUGCUAUGAGCUGCCUAUACUGAAAUAUAUGCCAGGACUUAGUUACAGUGUGGAUCUAAAAAUCAUAUUCAAUUCGCUUAUGGGGACACUUUCUUGAAUCACUGAAUCUAUUCUCACGCAGAUGAUUUUUGGAACCACAGUUACUUUACUACUGACCAAUCUUUUCUUUCAUGGAGUAUGCAUGCAGCCCUCUACUCUUCCAGUCCAGAUUCUCCGUGUAGGGCAGUUAAUAAGCCAUCCUCAGUGUACCUGGGAGUUGAGAGCUCUGAAAUUUUAAGGAUUAAAAAACCUUAACCAUAUUAUUCGUUGCGUUGGAUUCCAAAUGGAGAGGAACAUGGUGAACAAACUGUUGUUAUGAGACGGAACAAUACGAUAUCGUAUUGGAGUUUUCUUUUAUUACAUGAACUACUUUACUGGCCUUGUAUUCCUCUACCUCAUAUAGUAGCAGACUGCAGGCCAUGUGAUAUGCCCUUGUCAUGGAACCGAGUUCUUUCCCUCUUAAAAGGAACAAAACAACAAUAACACAGCAAGCAAAAGUUGAUGAUUUCUUAGCUUUAUUAAUCCAUGAUCAUGACAUGUCUGGCUCCUCACGAGUCAACGAAGGCCACCGAAAUUAAAGGAGCAAUCAUCUCUAGUAGCUGCCACAGAGUUCAAGGGAUGGUGAACCUGACUUCCCUUGGUUAUAAUCGUAUUUUGCUGUGGACCAACACUCAUAAUUAUGUGUUUCAAAGGCAGAUGAUAUCCACUAAUGCACAAGCGUAUUCAAGCUGGGUUUUGAAAAUGGUCCCUUCUUGUUCUUGCUUUAGUUUCCCUUGUAUGAAAAACAGGUAAGCAACUUAGCUAUCAGAUUUGUUUGUUUCAGGCUCAAUUUCUUACCCCUUAAUUAUUACACGCAAGUUGAUCA